UUUCAACGGAGAGUUUGAUCCUGGCUCAGGACGAACGCUGGCGGCGUGCUUAACACAUGCAAGUCGAGCGGAAAGGCUCCUUCGGGGGUACUCGAGCGGCGAACGGGUGA
rnacentral:rRNA from 1 species